GGGAGUGGGCGAUGGGUUGAGUGAAGGCGAAGAAAACAAGGAGAUGAGACCACGAUAGAGGAGAAUUUCUUGGGGAAGACUCGCAGUUGAGGUCAGAUAGAAAGGAGGCAUUGAUGAGUUCUAGGUAGAAGAGGCUGGAUUUUGGCUCUCUGAGAAGUAGCUGCUCAGGAGGAGCAGGCUUGUGAAGCUGAUUCCCUGUGGUUGAUGAAGUCUCAGUAAAGCUGCUGGUGCCAUAAAAGAUUAUCUUUGGUUACUUACCCAAGUGAGGAAGCCUCUUCUGCUAGCUGCAUUCUUUUGUAUAUAUCCAGGCUCCUCUGUUCGUGGGAUUUCCCAGGAUAUGGGCAUCACAAGAUGCGGAUGGUUGCAAGAACUGUGGCAAGGUUAACGUAAGCUUCACUCUGCCUUCGGAAUUCCAUCUUGUGUUACACAGAUCUGUGAAGUUGCCUGUGGAGACUUAGGAAACUUGGAACAUUUUCAGUUUCACUUGAAAAAUGUGCUACUAUUCUUCAAUCCAUUGACCUAUGGAGGAAAGUAGUGAUGAAUGGAGAGGCAAGAUGAAUGAGAGGAGUGCCUCCCACCCACUGUGUGUGGGCAUCUGUCUGGACCUACACGUAGCCUCUACUAGAAGGCCAAGUGGAGCUGAUGGAAACAUACUAAUGCUCACGGUGCUUACUGUGCCAUGAGUCCCACAUCUCUAACCAGAUACCGCAUGUCUUCUGCUAGCAUCCAUGAAAAUGGUAGCAGGGUAACAAGUUAAAAUCAAAUCUCAAACCUAACAGAAAAGGAAUAAAAGUUUGCUGAAAUGUGUCAAAAAGUACUUGAACCUUUACUGAAGCACUUUUUUUUUUUUUUUCCCUCUGUCUUUCAUAAAGUUGCUCACCCAUCCUUAAAAACCAACAAUAAACUCUGAGGUUCUUGGCAAAGCUGUAGAAUUCUUGGACUCCUUAAAUUUGACUUCGAGAGUCACUGAACCUCCUGAAUUCUUCCUUCAGCACAAGAAAGAGGCCGUGAGAGCACUGAUGCAGUGUGUUUGAUAGCGGGCAACUGCGGUCUUGGAGAGGUCAGCCAGCCAUUCUCGCCCUAAGGCUAUAUACUUAAGGCAGUCCAAUUUUCAAACAUCUCCAGAGAUCGAGUGAAUUUAGCCAUAUUCCCUCAGGAGUCCAUUGUAACUUUUCACCUUUUUCCUUUAGGAUGUUUUUCUGCUUUAUAAUUUAAAUAGAAUGAAAAGGCUUACCAUGAAAGUCUUUCCUUUUUCCUUUUGUGGUCUUCAUGGAUAUUUAGAAAACUGAUCAGAGAGUGAAAAACAAAGCAUCGUGAAAUUCAUUGUCAUUUUCUUUUCUCAAGGUUGGCUG
ensembl:lncRNA